rnacentral:rRNA from 1 species
CCAGCAAUGCCGCGUGUGUGAAGAAGGCCUUCGGGUUGUAAAGCACUUUUAUCAGGAGCGAAAUACUGCCGGCUAAUACCCGGCGGGGCUGACGGUACCUGAGGAAUAAGCACCGGCUAACUUCGUGCCAGCAGCCGCGGUAAUACGAAGGGUGCAAGCGUUAAUCGGAAUUACUGGGCGUAAAGCGUGCGUAGGCGGUUCUUUAAGUCUGCUGUGAAAUCCCCGGGCUCAACCUGGGAAUGGCAGUGGAUACUGGAGAGCUAGAGUGUGAUAGAGGAUGGUGGAAUUCCCGGUGUAGCGGUGAAAUGCGUAGAGAUCGGGAGGAACAUCAGUGGCGAAGGCGGCCAUCUGGAUCAACACUGACGCUGAGGCACGAAAGCGUGGGGAGCAAACAGGAUUAGAUACCCUGGUAGUCCACGCCCUAAACGAUGCGAACUGGAUGUUGGUCUCAACUCGGAGAUCAGUGUCGAAGCUAACGCGUUAAGUUCGCCGCCUGGGGAGUACGGUCGCAAGACUGAAACUCAAAGGAAUUGACGGGGGCCCGCACAAGCGGUGGAGUAUGUGGUUUAAUUCGAUGCAACGCGAAGAACCUUACCUGGCCUUGACAUGUCUGGAAUCCUGC